rnacentral:rRNA from 1 species
UACAGAGACUGCAAGCGUUAUUCGGAUUCACUGGGCGUAAAGGGUGCGUAGGUGGUUCAUUAAGUCAGGGGUGAAAGACGGCAGCUUAACUGUCGCAGUGCCUUUGAUACUGAUGAACUUGAAUGAACUAGAGGUAGGCGGAAUGUGACAAGUAGCGGUGAAAUGCAUAGAUAUGUCACAGAACACCAAUUGCGAAGGCAGCUUACUAUGGUUUGAUUGACACUGAGGCACGAAAGCGUGGGGAUCAAACAGG